rnacentral:rRNA from 1 species
UUAAGCGACUAAGCGUACACGGUGGAUGCCCUGGCAGUCAGAGGCGAUGAAGGACGUGCUAAUCUGCGAAAAGCGUCGGUAAGGUGAUAUGAACCGUUAUAACCGGCGAUGUCCGAAUGGGGAAACCCAGUGCAAUUCGUUGCACUAUCGUUAACUGAAUACAUAGGUUAACGAGGCGAACCGGGGGAACUGAAACAUCUAAGUACCCCGAGGAAAAGAAAUCAACCGAGAUUCCCCCAGUAGCGGCGAGCGAACGGGGAGCAGCCCAGAGUCUGAAUCAGCUUGUGUGUUAGUGGAACGGUCUGGAAAGUCCGACGGUACAGGGUGAUAGUCCCGUACACCAAAAUGCACAGGCUGUGAACUCGAAGAGUAGGGCGGGACACGUGGUAUCCUGUCUGAAUAUGGGGGGACCAUCCUCCAAGGCUAAAUACUCCUGACUGACCGAUAGUGAACCAGUACCGUGAGGGAAAGGCGAAAAGAACCCCGGCGAGGGGAGUGAAAAAGAACCUGAAACCGUGUACGUACAAGCAGUGGGAGCACCUUCGGGUGUGACUGCGUACCUUUUGUAUAAUGGGUCAGCGACUUAUAUUCUGUAGCAAGGUUAACCGUAUAGGGGAGCCGCAGGGAAACCGAGUCUUAACUGGGCGUUAAGUUGCAGGGUAUAGACCCGAAACCCGGUGAUCUAGCCAUGGGCAGGUUGAAGGUUGGGUAACACUAACUGGAGGACCGAACCGACUAAUGUUGAAAAAUUAGCGGAUGACUUGUGGCUGGGGGUGAAAGGCCAAUCAAACCGGGAGAUAGCUGGUUCUCCCCGAAAGCUAUUUAGGUAGCGCCUCGUGAAUUCAUCUUCGGGGGUAGAGCACUGUUUCGGCUAGGGGGUCAUCCCGACUUACCAACCCGAUGCAAACUACGAAUACCGAAGAAUGUUAUCACGGGAGACACACGGCGGGUGCUAACGUCCGUCGUGAAGAGGGAAACAACCCAGACCGCCAGCUAAGGUCCCAAAGUCAUGGUUAAGUGGGAAACGAUGUGGGAAGGCACAGACAGCCAGGAUGUUGGCUUAGAAGCAGCCAUCAUUUAAAGAAAGCGUAAUAGCUCACUGGUCGAGUCGGCCUGCGCGGAAGAUGUAACGGGGCUAAACCAUGCACCGAAGCUGCGGCAGCGACACUAUGUGUUGUUGGGUAGGGGAGCGUUCUGUAAGCCUGCGAAGGUGACCUGUGAGGGUUGCUGGAGGUAUCAGAAGUGCGAAUGCUGACAUAAGUAACGAUAAAGCGGGUGAAAAGCCCGCUCGCCGGAAGACCAAGGGUUCCUGUCCAACGUUAAUCGGGGCAGGGUGAGUCGACCCCUAAGGCGAGGCCGAAAGGCGUAGUCGAUGGGAAACAGGUUAAUAUUCCUGUACUUGGUGUUACUGCGAAGGGGGGACGGAGAAGGCUAUGUUAGCCGGGCGACGGUUGUCCCGGUUUAAGCAUGUAGGCUGGUUAUCCAGGCAAAUCCGGAUAAUCAAGGCUGAGGUGUGAUGACGAGGCACUACGGUGCUGAAGUAACAAAUGCCCUGCUUCCAGGAAAAGCCUCUAAGCAUCAGGUAACAUCAAAUCGUACCCCAAACCGACACAGGUGGUCAGGUAGAGAAUACCAAGGCGCUUGAGAGAACUCGGGUGAAGGAACUAGGCAAAAUGGUGCCGUAACUUCGGGAGAAGGCACGCUGGUGUGUAGGUGAAGCCCCUGCGGGUGGAGCCGAGACCAGUCGAAGAUACCAGCUGGCUGCAACUGUUUAUUAAAAACACAGCACUGUGCAAACACGAAAGUGGACGUAUACGGUGUGACGCCUGCCCGGUGCCGGAAGGUUAAUUGAUGGGGUUAUCCGUAAGGAGAAGCUCUUGAUCGAAGCCCCGGUAAACGGCGGCCGUAACUAUAACGGUCCUAAGGUAGCGAAAUUCCUUGUCGGGUAAGUUCCGACCUGCACGAAUGGCGUAAUGAUGGCCAGGCUGUCUCCACCCGAGACUCAGUGAAAUUGAACUCGCUGUGAAGAUGCAGUGUACCCGCGGCAAGACGGAAAGACCCCGUGAACCUUUACUAUAGCUUGACACUGAACAUUGAGCCUUGAUGUGUAGGAUAGGUGGGAGGCUUUGAAGCGUGGACGCCAGUCUGCGUGGAGCCAACCUUGAAAUACCACCCUUUAAUGUUUGAUGUUCUAACGUUGGCCCCUGACCGGGGUUGCGGACAGUGUCUGGUGGGUAGUUUGACUGGGGCGGUCUCCUCCCAAAGCGUAACGGAGGAGCACGAAGGUUAGCUAAUCCUGGUCGGACAUCAGGAGGUUAGUGCAAUGGCAUAAGCUAGCUUGACUGCGAGCGUGACGGCGCGAGCAGGUGCGAAAGCAGGUCAUAGUGAUCCGGUGGUUCUGAAUGGAAGGGCCAUCGCUCAACGGAUAAAAGGUACUCCGGGGAUAACAGGCUGAUACCGCCCAAGAGUUCAUAUCGACGGCGGUGUUUGGCACCUCGAUGUCGGCUCAUCACAUCCUGGGGCUGAAGUAGGUCCCAAGGGUAUGGCUGUUCGCCAUUUAAAGUGGUACGCGAGCUGGGUUUAGAACGUCGUGAGACAGUUCGGUCCCUAUCUGCCGUGGGCGCUGGAGAAUUGAGGGGGGCUGCUCCUAGUACGAGAGGACCGGAGUGGACGCAUCACUGGUGUUCGGGUUGUCAUGCCAAUGGCACUGCCCGGUAGCUAAAUGCGGAAGAGAUAAGUGCUGAAAGCAUCUAAGCACGAAACUUGCCCCGAGAUGAGUUCUCCCUGAGACUUUAAGUCUCCUGAAGGAACGUUGAAGACGAUGACGUUGAUAGGCCGGGUGUGUAAGCGCAGCGAUGCGUUGAGCUAACCGGUACUAAUGAACCGUGAGGCUUAACCUU